rnacentral:rRNA from 1 species
GACGAACGCUGGCGGCGUGCCUAAUACAUGCAAGUAGAACGCUGAAGAGAGGAGCUUGCUCUUCUUGGAUGAGUUGCGAACGGGUGAGUAACGCGUAGGUAACCUGCCUUGUAGCGGGGGAUAACUAUUGGAAACGAUAUCUAAUACCGCAUAACAAUGGAUGACACAUGUCAUUUAUUUUAAAGGGGCAAUUGCUCCACUACAAGAUGGACCUGCGUUGUAUUAGCUAGUAGGUGAGGUAAUGGCUCACCUAGGCGACGAUACAUAGCCGACCUGAGAGGGUGAUGUGCCACACUGGGACUGAGACACGGCCCAGACUCCUACGGGAGGCAGCAGUAGGGAAUCUUCGGCAAUGGGGGCAACCCUGACCGAGCAACGCCGCGUGAGUGAAGAAGGUUUUCGGAUCGUAAAGCUCUGUUGUAAGUCAAGAACGGGUGUGAGAGUGGAAAGUUCACACUGUGACGGUAGCUUACCAGAAAGGGACGGCUAACUACGUG